rnacentral:rRNA from 1 species
GAUCUCCUACGGGAGGCAGCAGUGGGGAAUAUUGGGCAAUGGGCGCAAGCCUGACCCAGCAACGCCGCGUGAAGGAAGAAGGCUUUCGGGUUGUAAACUUCUUUUCUCAGGGACGAAGCAAGUGACGGUACCUGAGGAAUAAGCCACGGCUAACUACGUGCCAGCAGCCGCGGUAAUACGUAGGUGGCAAGCGUUAUCCGGAUUUACUGGGUGUAAAGGGCGUGUAGGCGGGGACGCAAGUCAGAUGUGAAAACCACGGGC